rnacentral:rRNA from 1 species
CCCUUAGAUGUUCUGGGCUGCACGCGCGCUACACUGAUGCGCUCAACGAGUUUACGACCUUGCCCGGAAGGGUUGGGUAAUCUUUUUAAAACGCAUCGUGAUGGGGAUAGAUUAUUGCAAUUAUUAAUCUUUAACGAGGAAUUCCUAGUAAGCGCGAGUCAUCAGCUCGUGCUGAUUACGUCCCUGCCCUUUGUACACACCGCCCGUCGCUCCUACCGAUUGAAUGAUCCGGUGAAUAAUUCGGACUGCAGCAGUGUUCAGUUCCUGAACGUUGCAGCGGAAAGUUUAGUGAACCUUAUCACUUAGAGGAAGGAGAAGUCGUAACA